rnacentral:rRNA from 1 species
GGAAAGGCGCGCGAUACAGGGUGACAGCCCCGUACACAAAAAUGCACAUGCUGUGAGCUCGAUGAGUAGGGCGGGACACGUGGUAUCCUGUCUGAAUAUGGGGGGACCAUCCUCCAAGGCUAAAUACUCCUGACUGACCGAUAGUGAACCAGUACCGUGAGGGAAAGGCGAAAAGAACCCCGGCGAGGGGAGUGAAAAAGAACCUGAAACCGUGUACGUACAAGCAGUGGGAGCACGCUUAGGCGUGUGACUGCGUACCUUUUGUAUAAUGGGUCAGCGACUUAUAUUCUGUAGCAAGGUUAACCGAAUAGGGGAGCCGAAGGGAAACCGAGUCUUAACUGGGCGUUAAGUUGCAGGGUAUAGACCCGAAACCCGGUGAUCUAGCCAUGGGCAGGUUGAAGGUUGGGUAACACUAACUGGAGGACCGAACCGACUAAUGUUGAAAAAUUAGCGGAUGACUUGUGGCUGGGGGUGAAAGGCCAAUCAAACCGGGAGAUAGCUGGUUCUCCCCGAAAGCUAUUUAGGUAGCGCCUCGUGAAUUCAUCUCCGGGGGUAGAGCACUGUUUCGGCAAGGGGGUCAUCCCGACUUACCAACCCGAUGCAAACUGCGAAUACCGGAGAAUGUUAUCACGGGAGACACACGGCGGGUGCUAACGUCCGUCGUGAAGAGGGAAACAACCCAGACCGCCAGCUAAGGUCCCAAAGUCAUGGUUAAGUGGGAAACGAUGUGGGAAGGCCCAGACAGCCAGGAUGUUGGCUUAGAAGCAGCCAUCAUUUAAAGAAAGCGUAAUAGCUCACUGGUCGAGUCGGCCUGCGCGGAAGAUGUAACGGGGCUAAACCAUGCACCGAAGCUGCGGCAGCGACGCUGAUGCGUUGUUGGGUAGGGGAGCGUUCUGUAAGCCUGCGAAGGUGUGCUGUGAGGCAUGCUGGAGGUAUCAGAAGUGCGAAUGCUGACAUAAGUAACGAUAAAGCGGGUGAAAAGCCCGCUCGCCGGAAGACCAAGGGUUCCUGUCCAACGUUAAUCGGGGCAGGGUGAGUCGACCCCUAAGGCGAGGCCGAAAGGCGUAGUCGAUGGGAAACAGGUUAAUAUUCCUGUA